rnacentral:ncRNA from 2 species
GCACAAGAACACGGGUGCCCGCAGGACCGGCGGGCUGAGACAGCGCACGCCACCGCUGGACCGUCGAACCUGAUCCGGGUCAUGCCGGCGAAGGAAGGUCUGAUCGACGUGUU